CAGCAGACACAUUCCAGCCAAUCAGCAGCAGACUCUCCCUCCCAGAUCCUCUCACCUCCUGACAGCAUCCAUUUUACAUUCAUUGUGAAGCUGCAUUCUUAGUUAGCUGUCCAGGAGGUGGAAGGGUCUGGGAGGGAGGGUCUGCUGCUGAUUGGCUGGAAUGUGUCUGCUC
rnacentral:miRNA from 1 species